GGGACCCGGUCUGACGUGGACCCCGGUUUGACGUCGAACGCAGUCUGACGUCGGACCCACCUGACGUCGGCUCACUCUGACGUCGGCGCUGUCUGACUCCAGUCUGAGGCCGUCCUGGUUUUGAAGUCAGCCCGGACGCCGGCCGACAGUUUCCACACCCAGCCUGGAAACCGAAACGCUCACAUGAAGCCUGAAAGCCCAUGAAGGGAACGACUGCGACGCUGGGAUCCCGAGACGGGGCCUCCCCGCCUGGAGAGGCAGCCAGCGAGCGGCAGGUUCGGCGGCUGGGCAGCUGAGAGAGUCAUUACUGUGAUCUGUGGGACAUUCUAUACAUGAGCUGAUACUUCUCUUCCUUCUCCUCAGUCUCUAAGAAUGAGUCCAGACCCAUUCUGGGACUCAGAGAACUCUUUCUGGACCGUCUCUUCCCUUUCACCGCCAGCCAUCAUCUCCCAUCCAUCAGUUUGAAAAGAAUAUCGUUAAAUGUCUUAGCUACUGCUGGUUGAGCUGCAGCUCAGGAAGCUCUCAUCUCUCCUCUUUGACAACGUUGUUCAAGAAAUGUUGUCUGUCUGCAAUAAAUGUUUUACCUCCCCUGC